AUUGGACUUUCACAAAGCACAUACCUUGACAAAGUUUUGAAGAAGUUCAAAAUGGAUCAGGCAAAGAAAGGGUUCUUGCCUGUGUUACAAGGUGUGAAGUUGAGUAAGACUCAAUGCCCAACCACUCCAGAAGAUAGAGAGAAAAUGAAAGAUGUUCCCUAUGCUUCAGCCAUAGGCUCUAUCAUGUAUGCAAUGAUGUGUACCAGACCUGAUGUGUGCCUUGCUAUUAGUUUAGCAGGGAGGUACCAAAGUAAUCCAGGAUUGGAUCACUGGACAGCGGUCAAGAACAUCCUGAAGUACCUGAAAAGGACUAAGGAUAUGUUUCUCGUUUAUGGAGGUGACAAAGAGCUCAUCAUAAAUGGUUAUGUUGAUGCAAGCUUUGACACUGAUACGGACGAUUCUAAAUCGCAAACCAGAUAUGUAUUUAUAUUGAACGGUGGAGCUGUCAGUUGGAGCAAUUCUAAACAGAGCAUUGUGGCGGGAUCUACAUGUGAAGCGGAGUACAUUGCUGCUUCAGAAGCAACAAAUGAAGGAGUCUGGAUGAAGGAGUUCAUAUCCGAUCUAGGUGUCAUACCUAGU
rnacentral:rRNA from 1 species